UUGUUUGAUUGCAAUGGAUUGGCAGUCUGUCCAGGCUCCAGCACCCCCUGCAACCCUGCCCAGGAUAAGCGGAAUAUUUCCUCUUACCCUGAAGCUGUCGCGAUGUGCAGAAGCGCUUAUUGCGUAUGCUUACGCCAUGCCCCAGUCAUCCGUCGCCGUUGGAGACGCGUGAGGAGCUCCGGCAGCUGAUGACAGCCGAGCCAGAUUCCUGAGCGGUGACCUGGAGCCCGACUGACCGUCUCGGGAACGCUAGGAAUGGGAUCCUGAGCGGAAACGUGCGGAACUAGGCGUGCGCUAACAAACAUUCCCAACCUGCUGGCUGUCUGACAGAGCAAUCAACAGGGUGGUUAGAAAUGCCAACAGCCCGUGCCAAGACUUACUCUUCAGUGUUAAGACCUCUGGGCGAACUGUUCAGCUGCAUCUGUUCUGUUAUAACUUACGUGAUAAAUAGUUAAGGUAUAUAAGGUAAUAAGCUCUCUGAGUUUCAGCCUUAAUGAGUCAUGCAGAGCUUAUCGCAGCAGCUGAUCAGUAUGCAGUUCAGUAUAGCAGCUGAUGGAGAUUAAAGGCUUGUUUCUCUUUUUUUGCAUUGUGUGUGUGAGAGGCAGGCUUGUGCAGGCUCUUGACUGAGAGAAGCAGAAGGAGUGUACACUCCAGGUACAGACAUCCGUACCAACAGAAUGACUUAUGCGAAGUGUGUAUCUGGUCAUUUUCUGACAUUUUUCCACGUGUUUUUAGCAGUUUAAAGUCAUCGCUGAAUGUUCGGUGCUCUGAAAAGAUACAUGAGUGGUGGCAAGUGCUAAACUACAUGUUAAAGUAUUAUCUGGCAUAAUUUAAUUAUUAUUCUCACAGAUACUACUUAUCAGUGCAAGUUAUUCUAAAUCUGAUCCCGACACAUGGAUUGUGCCAUGUUGACAACGCAACAUUCCGUAGAUAUGAAAACGAGAGAAGAUAUAAUCACAACAAAAACGGAUGAAAGAUAAUAUCGAACAAUAGCUUGUUUUUGCCAAGGUAUCCCAAGGUGCACCGGCUGAACGCUGCCAAGGCAACAAAAUGUGGCACCAAAGCCUGAGUUCGGCUCAGCUGGGAGAGUGGUGGCCGCAGACGCAAGGUAAAAUGAACCAAAAAGCAGGAGAUUCUCAUCAGACCAAGACCAAGUUGUGCUUUAAAGGACAAAAGUGAUAUAACCCUCCCCCUCUCUUAAGAACCUCCCUCUAUUCUAGAUCUUGCACAAUUAAUCUAUGAUUUGGGGAGAAGUUUGGCCUCUGCCUUUAAAAAAUAAAAAACGUCAUGUUGGUCUGGGUCACUUGAGGACAAAAACAUCCUUUCAGGGGAACAAUGAAAAUAAUCCCCUCACGACGGCCAUUGUCGGGACAGCGAGCAUCGGCGCUUUGUGCGGCAGUUGGGAAAUGAACUGGAGGGAUGAAUGUACCAUGUGACCCGGCAGCAGCGGCACACAGCUCUCAGCUCUCUGUGGCCUGACCCAGAACCUCUAAACAUCGUGUUCGCAUACGGAGCCAAAAAUGAGGAUUUGAUGUAUCCGAGGAUAAUAAUGUGUGCAAAAGGUUUUCUCACGAGACUCUUUCCUACGUCUGACACCUGCUAGCACACUUUUAGCUUUAUUUUUCACUGCGCCACUUGCCUAGCAACCAACACCUCCACUGGUUUUAUUUCGGAGUAGUUUUGUAACAACGUACAUUCUCGGGUAUUUUUUUCCCCAUCGCUAAACACUGACCGUCUG